ensembl:lncRNA
GGGCAGCAUGGGAGGAAUGGCUGGGAGUUAGAGAAAGAUAUAUUUUCCAUCCCAUGCAAGAGCCACUUCACUGAUAGCUGGCUGGCUGGCAAGCUUGUCCCAAGGCAGCAUAGGCAGAGCCAAGGUGGUAAGCUCUGUAUGGAGAGGACAUUGCAGGAUCCAGGCAAUGAAGCAAGGGCUUUCUUAUGUAUGUGUGAAUCAUCAGUGAUUUCAGAAAAUCACUAAAAUAACUCACUUGGAGAAAUGGAGGUGAGAAGACAGACAUGUUGAGUGUUGCGAGCAGGGAUGAAAGAAUGCUGUCAGGAAUGAUGGAAACUCAUCCAGUUACAGCUCCUGGUAUGGCCGAAAGUUUCUAAGUUGAAAUACCAGUAAAGAAACAACUAUAUGUGGUAGAUGGUAUAAACAUUUUAAAAUAUAUGUAAAUGUUUAUCAAGAGAUUUUAAAUUAUUCUUUUCUGGUCAAAAUAAC